UAAGGGUUAAGUUAAACAAACUGUUAUCCUUCAAAGAUAAAUUUACUAUAAAGUACCUUUAA
rnacentral:tRNA from 1 species